ACGCUUGCCUUGGCAGCACAUAUACCAGAAUUGAAACAAUACAGGGAAGAUAGGCACGGUCCCUGUGCAAGGAUGACAUGUAAAUUCACCAAGUGUUCCGUAGUUUU
ensembl:snRNA U6 U6 spliceosomal RNA